rnacentral:rRNA from 1 species
CGUCUAGUUAGCAAUUAUACCGUGAAACUGCGAAUGGCUCAUUAAAUCAGUUAUCGUUUAUUUGAUAGUACCUUACUACUUGGAUAACCGUGGUAAUUCUAGAGCUAAUACAUGCUGAAAACCCCGACUUCGGGAGGGGUGUAUUUAUUAGAUAAAAAACCAACGCCCUUCGGGGCUUCUUGGUGAUUCAUGAUAACUUCACGGAUCGCAUGGCCUUGCGCCGGCGACGGUUCAUUCAAAUUUCUGCCCUAUCAACUUUCGAUGGUAAGGUAUUGGCUUACCAUGGUUUCAACGGGUAACGGGGAAUUAGGGUUCGAUUCCGGAGAGGGAGCCUGAGAAACGGCUACCACAUCCAAGGAAGGCAGCAGGCGCGCAAAUUACCCAAUCCCGACACGGGGAGGUAGUGACAAUAAAUACUGAUACAGGGCUCUUUUGGGUCUUGUAAUUGGAAUGAGUACAAUUUAAACCUCUUAACGAGGAACAAUUGGAGGGCAAGUCUGGUGCCAGCAGCCGCGGUAAUUCCAGCUCCAAUAGCGUAUAUUAAAGUUGUUGCAGUUAAAAAGCUCGUAGUUGAAACUUGGGCCUGGCUGGCAGGUCCGCCUCACCGCGUGUACUUGUCCGGCCGGGCCUUUCCUUCUGGAGAACCUCAUGCCCUUCACUGGGUGUGUUGGGGAACCAGGACUUUUACUUUGAAAAAAUUAGAGUGUUCAAAGCAGGCCUUUGCUCGAAUACGUUAGCAUGGAAUAAUAGAAUAGGACGUGCGGUCCUAUUUUGUUGGUUUCUAGGACCGCCGUAAUGAUUAAUAGGGACAGUCGGGGGCAUCAGUAUUCAAUUGUCAGAGGUGAAAUUCUUGGAUUUAUUGAAGACUAACUACUGCGAAAGCAUUUGCCAAGGAUGUUUUCAUUAAUCAGUGAACGAAAGUAAGGGGAUCGAAGACGAUCAGAUACCGUCGUAGUCUUAACCGUAACUAUGCCGAUAGGGGAUCGGGCGAUGUUCUUUUCUGAUCGGUCGGACCUUAC